GGCACUAUGGCGGAGUGGUUAACGCGAUGCCCUGCUAUCCCCAAUUCGUUGAGUAUAUCAGUCCAGGCAUUUCCUUCGGGAGCGCAGGUUCGAAUCCUGCUGGUGUCG